UGCUGCAGACAGGUAGCAGAAACCACCGUCGGUCGCGCCGUCGCCGUCGCUUCCCCCUGCUUGAAACCCUGGUCGUCUUCGUCACACGCCUUUUCUUCGAAACCCUAGUCUCGGCCUCGAUCCCGAUUGGCCGAGAGGCUCCGUGUUGCUGCCGCACCGCGUCUCGGCGAGUAGUCGGCCGCUGCUGUCUUCCAUGUAGCCGCCGUCGUCGUCGCCGAUCCGCCGCCCGUCGCGCCACCACUGCCGAG
rnacentral:lncRNA from 1 species